rnacentral:lncRNA from 1 species
GUAAACAUAUUUUGCUUGGGUUAUUUCACAGUGAAAGUGAAUGAAUUAUUAGAUCUCCAAUCAGUGCAGUUAUAAUAAGGUCUUCAAGAUGUAGGAUGCUCUGUCAGACUAUUUUCUUUUUCUUGCCAGGAAGAAGUAAGCUAAAAAAAAAUCCCCUUGGAAUCCCUGAGUGAUGAACACAAUCUUUCCCAGAGCAUUGAAGAAAGAGUAGUUCCACAGAUUUACGUGGAAACAAACAACAAUGGAAGAGACAAAGAAGAAGGAAUUUUAGUCGAAAUUUCUUUACUUUAGAAGACUUGGAAGUAUGCUAAUUUGAAUGAAGAAUUCACGACUAUUUAGUACCAACCUGCCAACAAGCGUCUGACUUUGAUUUCAUACGUGAAAAGGCUAGACCUUUUCAAGGCAUGGAUUACUGAGGUUAACACAAGCAUCCACACAAUUGGAAAGUCUUAUAUUUCAAGACUAAGAACUGGAAUUUCAUUGGUUAACCUCAAGCAAAAAAGAGGAUGCCUGGAAAAUUCAACUCCUAUAAUACGGAAAGGAAAAGGUCAGAAGAGGAUAAUUAAGAAAUGGAGCUGAAAAAGGAAUACACUUGCAGGUGAAACAAACUGUCUUUAUUCUGUUGAAAUAAAACUCAAUCUAUGUGCUCA